AUUGAACGCUGGCGGCAGGCCUAACACAUGCAAGUCGAACGAGUGGCGGACGGGUGAGUAAUGUCUGGGAAACUGCCUGACGGAGGGGGCUAACUACUGGAAACGGUAGCUAAUACCGCAUACCAUCAGAUGUGCCCAGGUGGGAUUAGCUAGUUGGUGGGGUAACGGCUCACGAAGGCGACGAUCCCUAGCUGGUCUGAGAGGAUGACCAGCUACACUGGAACUGAGACACGGUCCAGACUCCUACGGUAGGCAGCAGUGGGGAAUAUUUGACAAUGGGCCAAAGCCUGAGGCAGCCAUGCCGCGUGUAUGAAGAAGGCCUUCGGGUUGUAAAGUACUUUCAGCGGGGAGGCGUUACCCGCAGAAGAAGCACCGGCUAACUCCGUGCCAGCAGCCGCGGUAAUUC
rnacentral:rRNA from 1 species